UCCAUCGAGACAUCGAUCUACAGUGAGAUCCGUUAUAACGAGACGUGAUAAGGUGCACGCGUACCGAGCGAAAAUUCAAAGUCGAUUUUCUCGAAAACAAAGCCUCAAACGAAAAAUGUUUAUUCUAUAUUUUCGACUUCUUUUUUCGCGUAGAAUCACCCCUUUCCGCUUGUACCGCCAGUUACCAACCACCCUGUAUAUAUGUACUAAGUGAACUUAUUUGCCAACCUAAUAUAAAAGUAUUAAAUAUAUGUGUACAUACCUAAUUUGGAAGUUGCAUUUUUAUUACCAUUUUGUUGGCAAUAAUAAUACAUGGUUAAUAUUAGUCCAUAAUUAAUAUUCAUUUAAACAAUAUUUGAUAAAAUUGAACAACUAUUACGACGAUUCGAUGAUUUUUAAAUAUGUUUGUCGGGAGCAUAGUUUUGAAUAACUUUUUCCUAUACGUGUAACCGUUGGUCGGUCAUAGUUUCCGAGUAUUUGCAAAAGUUAUUGAUACCCCAUAAAGUUGCGUCCGUGACUGCAUACGAAUUAGUAUACAUUCCUGGCAGCGUUCCAGCGGCGGGUAUAAUAACCCACCCGAAACAUGGCUCUUAUCUUUUAUUUACCGCAUAUAUAAGCGAGAAUUGUGCAAGCUUGAGUAUAGCUUCGUACACAACUGCAUAUGCGAGAUUAUAAAAAAUGUUUGGUAUAAUACAAUUAAAAAUGAAUAUCAUCAAUAUAUUGGGUUUGAAUAAUUUGGAUUAUACACUAUAGCAAAUGAUUUCUCAAUGCAAUCUGUUUUUCCUUAAAAGAACGUUUCACUUUUCCUUUUAUUUUAUGCUUUAACAUUUGGAAAGUUUUAUUUUUCUUUUUUUCACGAUUUGUUUUACUACAAAGUGGAUUUUGUCGCCCAUCUUUAUAACCAAAUUUUUCUCUUCCUUCUUGUCCUUUCUGUAAAAAAGCAAAACAAAAACAUAUUAAACUAAAGUAAACAAUAAAUACAUAAAUUAAUUUAGAAAUAUA